UUUUAGCUCACCUGGCCCGAAGGGCCAAGUGAGCUUUUCUCAUCACUUGGCGUCCGUCGUCCGGCGUCGUCCGUCGUCGGCGUUAACUUUUUACAUUUUGAACUUCUUCUAGAGAACCACUGAAUGGAAUGAAACCAAACAUGGCAUGAAUGUUCCUUAUGAGGUGCUGACCAAGUGUUGUUACUUUGUAGCCGAUCCAUCAUCCAAGAUGGCCGCCAGCGGGGGACUUAGUUUAACAUAGGACCCUAUGUGAAAUGCGUACAAAUGACUUCUUUUAGAGAACCACUGAAUGGAAUAAAACCAAACAUGGCAUGAAUGUUCCUUAUGAGGUGCUGACCAUGUGUUGUUACUUUGUAGCCGAUCCAUCAUCCAAGAUGGCCGCCAUCAGGGAACUUAGUUUAACAUAGGACCCUAUGGGAAAUACAUACAAAUGUCUUCUUUUAGAGAACCACUGAAUGGAAUGAAACCAAACAUGACAUGAAUGUUCCUUAUGAGGUGCUGACCAAGUGUUGUUACUUUGUAGCCGAUCCAUCAUCCAAGAUGGCCGCCAGCAGGAGACUUAGUUUAACAUAGGACCCUAUGGGAAAUACAUAAAAAUGUCUUCUUUUAGAGAACCACUGAAUGGAAUGAAACCAAACAUGGCAUGAAUGUUCCUUAUGAGAUGCUGAUCAAGUGUUGUUACUUUGCAGUCGGUCCAUCAUCCAAGAUGGCCGCCAGCAGGGGACUUAGUUUAACAUAGGACCCUACGGGAAAUACAUACAAAUGUCUUCUUUUAGAGAACCACUGAAUGGAAUGAAACCAAACAUGGCAUGAAUGUUCCUUAUGAGGUGCUGACCAAGUGUUGUUACUUUGUAGCCGAUCCAUCAUCCAAGAUGGCCGCCAGCGGGGGACUUAGUUUAACAUAGGACCCUAUGGGAAAUACAUACAAAUGUCUUCUUUUAGAGAACCACUGAAUGGAAUGAAACCAAACAUGGCAUGAAUGUUCCUUAUGAGGUGCUGACCAAGUGUUGUUACUUUGCAGUCGGUCCAUCAUCCAAGAUGGCCGACAGCAGGGGACUUAGUUUAACAAAGGACCUAUGGGAAAUACAUACAAAUGUCUUCUUUUAGCGAACCACUGAAUGGAAUGAAACCAAACAUGGCAUGAAUGUUCCUUAUGAGGUGCUCACCAAGUGUUGUUACUUUGUAGCCGAUCCAUCAUCCAAGAUGGCUGCCAGCGGGGGACUUAGUUUAACAUAGGACCCUAUGGGAAAUGCAUACAAUUGACUUCUUUUAGAGAACCACUGAAUGGAAUGAAACCAAACAUGACAUGAAUGUUCCUUAUGAGGUGCUGACCAAGUGUUGUUACUUUGUAGCCGAUCCAUCAUCCAAGAUGGCCGCCAGCGGGGGACUUAGUUUAACAUAGGACCCUAUGGGAAAUACAUACAAAUGUCUUCUUUUAGAGAACCACUGAAUGGAAUGAAACCAAACAUGGCAUGAAUGUUCCUUAUGAGGUGCUGACCAAGUGUUGUUACUUUGUAGCCGAUCCAUCAUCCAAGAUGGCCGCCAGCGGGGGACUUAGUUUAACAUAGGACCCUAUGGGAAAUACAUAAAAAUGUCUUCUUUUAGAGAACCACUGAAUGGAAUGGAACCAAACAUGGCAUGAAUGUUCCUUAUGAGAUGCUGAUCAAGUGUUGUUACUUUGCAGUCGGUCCAUCAUCCAAGAUGGCCGCCAGCAGGGGACUUAGUUUAACAUAGGACCCUAUGGGAAAUACAUACAAAUGUCUUCUUUUAGAGAACCACUGAAUGGAAUGAAACCAAACAUGGCAUGAAUGUCCCUUAUGAGGUGCUGACCAAGUGUUGUUACUUUGUAGCCGAUCCAUCAUCCAAGAUGGCCGCCAGCGGGGGACUUAGUUUAACAUAGGACCCUAUGGGAAAUACAUACAAAUGUCUUCUUUUAGAGAACCACUGAAUGGAAUGAAACCAAACAUGGCAUGAAUGUUCCUUAUGAGGUGCUGACCAAGUGUUGUUACUUUGCAGUCGGUCCAUCAUCCAAGAUGGCCGACAGCAGGGGACUUAGUUUAACAAAGGACCUAUGGGAAAUACAUACAAAUGUCUUCUUUUAGCGAACCACUGAAUGGAAUGAAACCAAACAUGGCAUGAAUGUUCCUUUUGAGGUACUGACCAAGGGUUGUUACUUUGCAGUCGGUCCAUCAUCCAAGAUGGCCGACAGCAGGGGACUUAGUUUAAAAAAGGACCUAUGGGAAAUACAUACAAUUGUCUUCUUUUAGAGAACCACUGAAUAGAAUUGAACCAAACAUGGCAUGAAUGUUCCUUAUGAGUUGCUGACCAAGUGUUGUUACUUUGCAGUCGAUCCAUCAUCCAAGAUGGCCGCUAGGGGGGGGGGGGGGGGGGGGGGGGGGGGGGGGGGGGGGGGGGGGCUUAGUUUAACAUAGGACCCUAUGGGAAAUACAUACAAAUGUCUUCUUUUAGAGUAGCACUGAAUGGAAUGAAACCAAACAUGGCAUGAAUGUUCCUUAUGAAGUGCUGACCAAGUGUUGCUACUUUGUUGCCGAUUUACUGUUCAAGAUUGCCACCAGGAUAUUUUAUUAAAUAACGGGACCAAUAUUAAUCAAAAUUUGGCCUCAAUCAUUAUUUGGGUAUCUGUUAUGAUUUUUAUCUAUCUUUACAUGAUUUCUAAAACCAAAGUAGAGUCAGGUGAGCGACACAGGCUCUUGAGAGCCUCUAGUUGUUUUUGUUUUUGUUUGCAGAAUAUUUGUUCUUGAAUAUUUUAUUUAGUGAAUACUUUUAAAGUUAAUAGUAUAUUUAUAUGUUGGUUUUAAUAUACCAUACAUGUUAGUCAGGUUGUUGAAUUCCAGCUUACAGUGGAACAUUCUCAGACUUGUGUUCAAUUAUAUAGCCAGUGAUAUACACAAAAAUAUCAACAUUUUCUAUUGUUUUAAUGAAAUUACCUAUAAUAUAUUAUCAAAACCUGUUUGUAAACUAGCUGACAGCUAAAGAAAGAAACAUACAUUAUCCUCUCAAGGAGGUUCUAUUCUAUUUCGAAGAGAACCUCAUUGGUCCUAUAUACACAAUGCUAUAGGGUAAUCUUCAGUCAUUACCAAUAUGCUCAUUGUUGUCGUCCUGAACAUACAUGAAAUAUUGGCCAUUGGACGUAAGUCAACCAACAAACAAACAAUCAAUAUAGAAUUAUAUUAUUUUUAGAAUAAGUAAAAGUACAUUGGCAAUAGCUUUGACAAUUCUGGGAAUGGUUCAUUGUUUUACAAGGAAAAUUGAUCUCAACCAUUAUGAGCUAGGAAUAUCACUUUACUUAUAUAUAUAGAAGUAUGUAUCAUUGUUAACUGUUAUUGUAUGAAGUCUAGUGCUAUGCAUUUGUCUGUUGUUGAACUGUUGGAAUAUAUGUUAUUUUUUUGUUUUUAGGGUUUUUUUGGUCAAAAGUACUUCUUGUAAAAAGAUAAAGCAUUAUAUCAUUUAAAUCAAAUUAUAUUUGAAGUAGUACAAUUUUCAUUGAAAAAAAUAUAACUUUUAUAAUGCUCAAUGGAAUUAUUCUUUUAGGACUGUGGAGAAAAUGUCCGUUUUCUAGUCUUUACAAUUUUGUAUAUAUCUAUAUGUAAAAGUGCUAUCUUGUGAAGAGUGCUAUUUAAUUAUGUUUCUACUUUUGUAGUGGAUUCGAAGAAUCAAGUGCUUAAUUUUGCAAUAUUAUAUUUAUUUAGCUUCAAUCUUUGUAUUCUAGAUUUGUUUUUUGUUUGUUCAUAGUAUUAAAAUAGGACUGGAUUU